ensembl:lncRNA
GAAGGUGUUACUUACCGGUUUGUUUUACCCAACUCGCAGCAAGCCAAAACGGUGAGAUGCUGAGGUUUGCACCAAAGCAAGGAGAUGGGCAAAUAGGUGUCAAAUCAUCUCGGAGAAGCCAAGACAAUCUUUGUACAGCACUGGCAUAACUAAGCUUCAGGCCUCUGCACAUUUUAAAGGUCACAAGUGCGCAUGCCUACGCAUGCCCAGACCAGCGGUCAGGGGUCCUUUCUAGCCCUAAGGCGCGCAGCUCGAACUAGACACAGCUGACUCUUGGCUCAGCCUUAACUACGUGCAGCUGACUCCAAGUUCCUGGAAAACAACUCAGGCAGGCAUCUUAUUGUUCAGGCUGCAUGCUGCCUGGAGGACGUGAAAAUCUUAAAACCUUGUUCAGAGAAGGGCUUCCCUGAUGGCUCAGUGGUAGAGAACCUGCCUGCCAAUGGAGGAGACGCGGGGUUGAUCCCUGGACUGGGAAGAUUCCACACGCCUCACAGCAACUAUGCCUGUGCCCUGCAGCUGCUGAGCCCCGUGCUAGAGCCGACAAGCCACGACUAUUGAAGCCCAAAUGCUCUAGAGCCUGUGCUCUGCAACAAGAGAAGCCACUGCAGUGAGAAGUCUGGGAACCAGAACAGAGUAACCGCCCAGUUACAGCAACUAGAGAAAGCCCACGAGCAAAAAUGAAGACCCAGCUCAACCAUAAAUAAAUAUGUUUUCAUGAAGCUAUUUAAUAAGACAAUUGGGGAGUUAAUGGCAUUGGCUAGAAGUACGACCAUUUCACUCUCAGAGUUUAGGCCUGAAUUACAUGUAAUUUACAAAAAAAUAUUUAAUAAGUGAGUUCAUCAAAAGAUCUUAAUUAAGUCACAUGAAAGGAGAGGUCUGCUCUACUAUGUGUUCCACUAUUACAUGUUCUGUUCUAAGAAGUUUAUUGAGGCCUGAUUAUUUCAACAGCACCUUAGACAGACUACUGUGAUCAUUUCAAAGUUGUCAUAAAUGUAUUGAAAAGAAAGUGAAAGACAAAGUGUUAGUCAGUCGCGUCCAACUCCAGUAUUCUUGCCUGGAGAACCCCAUGGACGGAGGAGCCUGGCUGGCUACAGUCCAUGGGGUCACCAAGAGUUGGAGACAACUGAGCAACUAAUACUAGUGUUAAUAUUUUCACUUCUGUAACACAAUUAACACAAAUAAAUCCCUAAAUUUAUCCUAAACAUCUGUCUUAACAGAUCUGCAUACUUCAAU